AACUUUUGGCAAUGGAUCUCUUGGCUCUCGCAUCGAUGAAGAACGCAGCGAAAUGUGAUAAGUAAUGUGAAUUGCAGAAGUCAGUGAAUCAUCGAAUCUUUGAACGCACCUUGCGCCCUUUGGCUAUUCCGAAGGGCAUGCCUGUUUGAUUAUCAUGAACACCCCAACCUUCACGGUUCCUCGUGAUGGGCUUGGACUUGGGGGCUUUGUUGGCCUGUGGUCAGCUCUCCUCAAAUAAAUCAGCUCGCCAGUGUCUGGCGGCAUCAUGGGUGUGAUAACCAUCUACGCUUGUGAUCGCCUGCGAGGUAAACCUCUGGUCUGCAGAGGUUCGCUGGAGCUUAUAGAUGUCUCUCCUCUGUGAAGACAGCUUUCUGAAGUUCGAUCUCAAAUCAGGUAGGACUACCCGCUGAACUUAAGCAUAUCAAUAAGCGGAGGCU
rnacentral:misc_RNA from 1 species